GGGGACGUAGCUCAGCUGGGAGAGCAUCGGCUUUGCAAGCCGGCGGUCGUGGGUUCGAAUCCCAUCGUCUCCACCA
rnacentral:tRNA from 1 species